GAUGAACGCUGGCGGCGUGCCUAAUACAUGCAAGUCGAGCGAACAGACGAGGAGCUUGCUCCUCUGACGUUAGCGGCGGACGGGUGAGUAACACGUGGAUAACCUACCUAUAAGACUGGGAUAACUUCGGGAAACCGGAGCUAAUACCGGAUAAUAUAUUGAACCGCAUGGUUCAAUAGUGAAAGACGGUUUUGCGGUAACUUAUAGAUGGAUCCGCGCCGCAUUAGCUAGUUGGUAAGGAAAAGGCUUACCAAGGCAACGAUGCGUAGCCGAACUGAGAGGGGGGUCGGCCACACUGGAACUUAGACACGGUCCAUACUCCUACGGGAGGCAGCAGUAGGGAAUCUUCCGCAAUGGGCGAAAGCCUUACGGAGCAACGCCGCGUGAGUUAUGAAGGUCUUCGGAUCGUAAAACUCUGUUAUUAGGGAAGAACAAAUGUGUAAGUAACUAUGCACGGCUUGACGGUACCUAAUCAGAAAGCCACGGCUAACUACGUG
rnacentral:rRNA from 1 species